rnacentral:lncRNA from 1 species
CUUGGGUCACGUACCAGUAUCUAACAUUUAUGAAGUGCUUAUCAGACACUGUUUCAAGCUCUGCAGAUGUCAAAGGACCCCAUGACGUAAGUAUUAUUAUUCCCUUUGACAGUUGAAGAGAUGAAGGCCCAGAGGCAUGAACUCCCACAGCCAGAGGAUAUGAGCGGAUUCUACCUGAGGAGUCUGGAGACCAUGAAUGCCGUGUGUGUCUGCUAAUUUAAAGCCUGGGCCCAGAGGAAAAUGUCUUUGCAUCUUGAAAGAUCUGGACUCCUUCUGCCUUCUGAGCAUCUGUGAGCUGGAGAUACUAAUAGGGCCUUCCCCAUAGAGAUGUUCUGAAGAUCAAAUGAGAGACCUCAUGGAAAGCUGUUAGCACAGAGCUGAGUAAGUAAGCAUUGUCAUUAGUUAUUAUUAUCCUAUUUUAUAGGCUAC